rnacentral:lncRNA from 1 species
UUUUUUUUUUUUGUCUUUUUGUCAUUUCUUGGGCUGCUCCCGCGGCAUAUGGAGGUUUCCAGGCCAGAGGGGUCGAAUCGGAGCUGUAGCUGCCAGCCUACACCAGAGCCACAGCAAUGCAGGAUCCGAGCCGCAUCUGCAACCUACACCACAGCUCACUGAAACGCCAGAUCUUUAACCCACUGAGUGAGGCCAGGGAUCAAACCCACAACCUCAUGGUUCCUAGUCUGAUUCGUUAACCACUGAGCCAUGAUGGGAACUCCUAAAGUUUUUAUUUCUAUGUUCCUCUCUAUAUUCUUAAUUUUGGAUCACAAUUCCUUCAUGAUAAUAUUUAUCAUUUAUUUUUUCCAGCUUUUUUGAGAUAUGUGACAUAUGACAUUGUGUAAAUUUAAAAUGUAGAGUGUGUUCAUGUGAUACACGUAUAUUGCAAUAUGAUAACCAUCCUACUGUCUCCCACACCUCUUAAACUUACUGUUUCUCCUUUGCAUUGAAAACAUUUACAAUAUACUCUCUUAGCAACUUCCAAGUGUAUAAUACAGUAAUGUUAACUAUAAUCACAAUGCUGGUCAUUAGAGUCUCAGAAAUUCUUCAAUUUCUAAUUAGAAGUUUGCACUCUUUCAUCAACAUCUUUCCAUUUUCCCUACCUCCCUACCUGGUAAUCACCAUUCUACUCUCUGUUUCUGUGAGUUCAUUUUUUUUUUUUAGAUUCCACAUAUAAGUGAUAUCAUACAAUAUUUGUCUUCUCUGACUUAUUUCACUUAGCAUAAGGCCUUCUAAAACCAUCCAUAUUGUUGCAAAUGACAGAGUUUCCUUCUUUCUCAAGGCUGCAUAAUAUUCAUACACUGUGAAUGAUAGAUACUACAAAGAACACAAAGUGCAUAUAUCUUUGAGAUCCUGUUUUAAUUCCUUUUGGUUAUGUACUCCAUAGUGGGAUUGCAGAAUAAUUUGGUAGUUUUAUUUUUAGUUUUGGAGGAAACUCCAAAUUGUUUUCCAUAGUAUGAAUACCAAUUUACAUUUCAAUGAACAGUGUAUAAAAGCUCCCUUUUCUCCACAUCCUCACCAAUGUUUAUUAUCUCCUGUCUUUUUGAUGAUAGUCAGUCUAACAGGUAUGAGGUAAUAACUCGUGGUAUCGAUUUACAUCUCCCUGAUAAUUAGUAGUGUUGAGCACUUUUUCCUGGACCUAUUUACAAUUUGUAUGUCUUCUUUGGAAAAAUGUCUAUUCAUUUAUUCUUCUCAUUUAAAAAUCAGAUUGUAUUUUUCUACUGAAUUUAUGAAUGUUUUAUAUAUUAUGAAUAUUAACCCCUUAUCAGAUAUAUGCUUUGCAAAUCUUUUCUUCCAUUCCUUAGGUUCCCUCUUCAUUUUGUUGAUCAUUUAUUUUGCUGUAUGGAAGCUUUUUAGUUUGAUGUAGCUUACUUGUUUAUUUUUGUUUUCAUUGUUUGUGUCAUUGGUGGUAAGAUAUCCAAAAAAUGUCAUUUUCAAGACCAAUGUCUGGAGUUCCUGUCAUGGCUUAGUGGUUAAUGAACUUUACUAGUAUCCAUGAGGAUGCGAGUUCGGUCCCUGGCCUUGCUCAAUGGAUUAAGGAUCCGGCAUUGCUGGGAGCUGUGCUAUACGUCACAGAUGCAGCUCAGAUCUCGUGUUGCUGUGGCUGUGGUGUAGGCUGGCAGCUACAGCUCCUAUUCGAGCCUUAGCCUGGGAACCUCCAUAUGCCGCAGGUGCAGCCCUAAAAACCAAAAAAAAAAACACAAUGUCAAGGAGUUUUUUCCCCUAUGUUUUCUUCCAGGAGUUUUAUGAUUUCAGGACUUACAAUUAAGUCUUCAACUCAUUUUGAGUUAAUUUUAGUAUGUGGUGUAAGAUAGAGGUCAGAUUUUACUUUAAUGCAUGUGGUUAUCCAGUUUUCCUCUCACUAUUUAUCAAAGAUACUAUCUUUUCCCCAUUGACUAUUACUGGCUAUAUUGUCAUAUAUUAGUAUGAAUUUUCUUUUCUUUUCUUUUCUUUNUUUUGCUUUUAGGGCUGCACUUGUGGCAUAUGGAAGUUCUCAGGUUAGGGCUGCCAGCCUACACCAUAGCCACAGCAAUGCCAGAUCUGAGCUGCAUCUGUGAUGUACACCACAGCUCAUGGAAACACCAGAUUCUUAACACAUUGAGCAAGGCCAGGGAUCAAACCCACAACCUCAAGGUUCCUGGUCGGAUUUGUUUCCACUGUGCCACAACAGGAACUCCUGAAUUUUCAUUUCUUUGUUUCUUUGGGUGUAUCUAUUAGUUUCUAGCAAAUCAUAUCUUACACAUAAUUUUUUGGACAUGUCGCAUUUAACAUCCUCUUUGAGUCAGAGUCGAGAAUUCAUAAUUUGCUUCUUUCUGUGUGUUUUUAAACAAUCUACAGCUNAUAUAUACACAUAUAGGCUUUCCUAUUAUCAUUCAAUAAUUUAAACUUUAAAAUAUAAACAAAACUUAAUUGGACUUUGUGUAUAUUUAUCUUUUUGUACAGUUUAAAAAUUUAAACUGUGGCUAUAAAUUUACUGUCAAUUUAAAUGCUAUUCUGGUUGAUUUAAAAAUUAUGUGGAUUGCAAUACUAACAUUAGCUUAUUCUGUGGUAUGCUGAUUUUUAGGCAAGAUUAUUAUUUUAUUGACAGAUAAAAGAUAUUGAAAACUAUGGGUAUUUAAUAUUGAUUCCUUAAUAGCAUAUACACAAUUUAUUAUGACAAAUUAUGCACAUUUCCCCCUUGUAUUUGUAUUUUUAGAUUGAAUAUACUGUCAUAGGAAUUUGGAAUCCUUUUUAUUAAAAUUAUAUGCUAAUAUCUAUCUUUUCUCUUUCAUUAAAGAUUUAAUUUUAUUUAUUUUAAAAAAUGUUUUAAGGGUCGCACAUGUGGCAUAUGGAAAUUCCCAGGGGUCAGCUGCCGGCAUACAUCACAACCACAGCAACACCAGAUUUAAGCUGCAUCUGCAACCUACACCACCACUCACAGCAACGCUGGAUCCUUUAACCCACCGAGUGAGGCCAGAGAUCGAACCUGCAUCCUCAUGAAUACUAGGUGGGUUCUUAACCCACUGAACCACAAUGGGAACCCCCUAGAGAUUUAAUUUUAAAAGAUAAUUUAUUCAUAUUAAAACUUGAAACUUAAUUGAAUAGUUUGAAAUCUUGGAUUAUCUUGGGUAAUGAAGGACAAAAUAUGCCUACUUUUAAUAACUGUAGGCAAUUCAUAAAUUCACAUCCUUUUAUAUAAGUGCAUGUAGGCAUAUGUUACAAAUUUCCGGAUUUGUCAUUUCUUAUAUAGAUAUUUUAAUGAUGCAAAAUCAAAAUAUCAUGCAUAGACAUUUAAUCUGUGCAAAAUACAUUAUAGAAUUUAAAAAUAAAAGAUAAAGUAGAUUUGUUACCUCAGUCAAGAUGGUUCUUCGUGAUCCAAUUCCUCUGACAAUUUCUGUAGAUAAAAGGGAGCAUAAAUUGUGUUUUAAAUUGACCUGAACUCUUCGAUUGAGUAAAAGGUCUGAGAGAACCAAAAACUUAGAUAAGAUCAAGAUAGGGCUGCAAAUUCUACUGGGAAAAAUUAAAAAUCAUGGUAGGGAGAUUUCUGGCACAUCUUCUAUUCCUGGACCUCACUUGUACUCUACAAUUGGAAUUAGAGGGGGGAUAAUUUUUCAGACACUGAAUUCUGAUUGAUAAAUGUGAAAGGGCAUACUUUGAUGAAUUCAAAUCUAUUUUGUUAGAUAAAAUGAUAACAGGAAGUUUAAAGAACAGAGAAAAGUGAAAGAAAGGAAAAAGAUAACUUCGAAGCAAUAUGCACUCCAGAGAAUACACACGCUAAUGAAGGUGGAUAAGCAGCACAAUUUUCAUCAGAGAGCAUUAUUUUUUAUUAACUCUAUCAAAUUUUGCCAUUUUAUAUUUAAUCAUGACAUUAUGAUAUGUUGAGUUUGAGAAUACCUGCAUUCCAGCAAAGAGAGGCAAUUCAUGAUUUAUUAUUUCUGUGUGAUAAAAUAAAAUUCAAAUUUUUAAGUUUGCAGAAGAAAACUGAAUCUGAACAUUGGCUAUAGAAAUAUUUGCUACUCCAAGUUUAGUGCUGUCAUUUCUCUUUUAUCUUUGUAGGAGAAUUUAAAGCUCUUCUUGAAUAUCAGAGAAAGACACAUCUGAAUUUGAAUCUUAGUUUUGGAACUUGUGUGGCCAUGGAGAAAAUGAUCUCUCUGAAUCCCAGUUUUUUUCACUAGUAAAAUGUAGAUUAAAAAUAUCAAUCUAGUGGGAUUGAGAGAUUAGAGAUAAUGUUGAUAAAUUUGGGUCAUUUACCUUAUCUCUCCUUUUCUGUACUAAUUUUAAGGCAAAUGAUCAUAUGUGGAAGAUAACCCUCAAAAAAGAAAGCUCAACAUUUGUUCUCACCCUGCCAAUAUUCAUAAAGUGCAUGAUAGCCACUUAUGAGUAGUGUUGUUUCUCUACCAAGGUUUUCAGUAAGAAUUAAAUCUUCAUGCCAAGCAUUACCUAAAUGAACUCAUUUAUUUCCUGUGCAUCUGGAAUGGUAUUGGUUGUACAACAUUCUUAAGAGACUGAAAAAAGUAAUCACAUGAUUUUGAGGAGAAACAACAAUCAGGAAAGGCAGUGGCGUAUGUAUUUUGCUUAACUCAACAGUUUCCUAAAUGCCACAAAAUGUGUUUUGGGGGAGUCAUCAGACUAGAUCUUUGGACUGAUGUUAUUUAAUCUGAUAUAGUCAUCAGACUCUAUCUCUGGACUUUGCCGUAGUUCUGUGAUUUUAACUGCACAAUUCAAGUAAGUGAAAGAGAAUGUGUAACUGUCAACGGGAGAAUUAGAUGAUUUACCUAACAGAGAAGUAGUGUGAAACAUAUAUUUUAUAAAAAGUACCUGAUGAGAUUCUUAAGAAGAUCAUGUAUAUUCCAUGGAAUUUACACUAAAAAUUGUUGAAAUACAAUAUCCUUUUCACAUAAGCUUCAAAAACAUUUUUUUAAGGAAACUAGUUACAUAAAUAAUGGUACAGCUAUAAACGCAGUGUUAUUUAACAUUUGAAAAAUGAGGCAGAUCUGUAGUAUU